rnacentral:tRNA from 1 species
GCCAGGGUGGCGGAGCGGUCUAACGCGUCAGUCCCGAAAACUGAUAUCCUCACGGAUGCACAGGUUCAAAUCCUGUCCCUGGCG